GCUCACUAGGUUAAGCGUCAGACUCUUGAUUUAGGCUCAAGUAGUGAUCUCACGGUUUGUGGGUUCAAGCCCCACAUUGGGCU
rnacentral:tRNA from 1 species